rnacentral:lncRNA from 1 species
CAUACCGCAUACCAUACAUCACAUAACAUAUAUCACAUAACAUGGUAUCCUAUAACAUCACAUAACUGCAACAUAUGUAUCACAUAACGUAUAACACAUAACGUAUGUCACAUCACACAUACCACAUAACACCACAUCACCAGAUGUACAUACUUCAGUAAUUCAUUAUCUUGUGCAGAAGAAAAAACAAAGAUACAAAGUCUGGGUGACCUGGAUGUUGCCCCCUAAAAGUCAGAGUCUGAGCCACUGCCAGGGACACCCAGGACUCCUGAGUACCUUUAGGUUGAGCCGAGCCUUCAGCCAAAGGGACUAAGGAUCCACCAUCAGGAAAGAGGUAAGAAGGAACUGGAAACAGUUGUGGCCCAUCAAGAAGUUUCAGCCAGUCAGGAUGGAUCCACCAUCAGGAAAGAGGUAAGAAGGAACUGGAAACAGUUGUGGCCCAUCAAGAAGUUUCAGCCAGUCAGGAUGUAUCCACCACACAUGGUUACCACAAACCCCAUCAUAACAAAAACUCUAUGUCAUAUAAAGAUUUCCAAGCCCUGGCAAGAACCAAUAUACUGAGUUCCAGGGAAAUCAAUACAUUUCAACAGAGUCUUGGUAUAUAUGGCAAUGAGAUUUGACCCAGUGUCAUCUCCAGGGUUGAAGAAAUGUUGGAAAUGAGUUCCAGGGAAAUCAAUACAUUGCAACAGCCUUGGCAUAUAUGGCAAUGAGACUCGACCCAGUAUCCUCUCCAAGGCUGAAGAAAUGGCAGAGCAAAAAGCCAUUGCUAUACCACUCUCCUGACCUGGCCAUGGAGUAAGGACUAAAAUGAAGGCCAAUAUUAAUAUGCCGCCUUGAUAUCUGGUGAGACUGGGAAGAUGUUGCAUGGCCUAACCACAAGUUCCUCUCCCCACUCCUAUGGGAAAGAUCCCCCAGCCAGACAACCCUCCUUGGCAAAGGGACCAGGUGCAGUUCCUGCUUAUCCUUGAGUAGUGGGUUUCAUUUCUCUGCCAACUAUGGACUUAUUCAAACAAACCAAUCACAUCCCCUCAUGGAAACAAGGGGACACCUCACCCUCUUGAUACUACAAAACCUGACGCCCACAGCCCUGUUUGUUACUUCUGUACCUGCCUCAGCAUAACCCCUGCACUCAGCUGCUGUUGGGAUCAUCUGCCCAGGGUCAGGUGCUAUGUAUUUGGCCAUUGCAGUAACCUUAGUGUGGGAGUCCCCUUCUCACCCAUUGGUUGAAUAGGAGGCAAUUAAACCACUGGCCUUUCAAAAAGGUUCUGGUGCUUCCCAUCCAGCAGCCUUGGUGGUAUUGAGCAUCAGGAUUCAUUGGCUCUGCAGUCCAUUCAUUCAACAACAGUUAUUGCGUAGGUUUUGGUGCCAGGCACUGUCCUCCAGGGCCAUAUGCCCAGUUGCUGAGACCUUGUCCUUGACCUGUUGUGGACAUUAGUCAGCAACAUUUACUGACAACACACACCCACCCAAUUCCCAAUCAUUGGGAAGCAAUUGGCCUAACAAAACAGUCCUCCGCUGUGGGAUGUGUAUGGCAUGGGGCUGCAGUAAGGUCCUUGGUGCCAUAUUUAAGCUUCUACAUGUUCUAAUCCUGGUUCUUUCUUCCCCUCUAGAAGGCUGGAAACUUUUCAAAGAAGAAGAGGGUGAGUUUCUCUGACCAUAUUAGCCAUGAGCAGCCACAGUGAAAGAAUUAAUGAAUUAGUUGCCUUUGCUUAUCUUUGCCCUGGACUUCAGACCUCCUUCAGGAGCAAUGGAGGGAUCCAAAAGCCAACACUGGAAGAUGUGGAUGGUG